CCUACGGGAGGCAGCAGUAGGGAAUCUUUCACAAUGGGCGAAAGCCUGAUGGAGCAACGCCGCGUGCAGGAUGAAGGCCUUCGGGUUGUAAACUGCUUUUAUAAGCGAGAAAUAUGAUGGUAACUUAUGAAUAAGGAUCGGCUAACUACGUGCCAGCAGCCGCGGUCAUACGUAGGAUCCGCGCAUUAUCCGGAGUGACUGGGUGUAAAGAGUUGCGUAGGUGGCAUAAUAAGUAGCUAGUGAAAUCUGGUGGCUCAACCAUUCAGACUAUUAGCUAAACUGUUAAGCUCGAGACCGUUAGGGGUAACUGGAAGUUCUAGUGUAGGAGUGAAAUCCGUAGAUAUUAGAAGGAACACCAAUAGCGUAGGCAGGUUGCUGGGACGGUUCUGACACUAAGGCACGAAAGCGUAGGGAGCAAACGGGAUUAGAUACCCGUGUAGUC
rnacentral:rRNA from 1 species